AUUCAUACGACAGAAAUUGAGCCUAAGAAUAUGAUGCCGUCUAGUUUUGCCAUGAAGUGCCGAAAACAUUUGAAGGGUCGGAGAUUAGUCAGUGAGAAACAAUUUGGUGUGGAUAGAAUUGUAGAUUUUCAAUUUGGAAGUGAUGAAGCUGCUUAUCAUUUAAUCAUUGAGCUCUAUGAUAGGCGGAACAUUGUUCUUACAGAUUAUGAGUACGUAAUUUUAAAUAUUCUAAGGUUUUGAACUGAUGAGGCAGAUGAUGUUAAAUUUGCUGUUCGUGAACGCUAUCCACUUGAUCAUGCUAGAGCUGCUGAACCUUUGCUUACUUUGGAAAGAUUGACUGAAAUAACAGCCCGUGCACCUAAGGGUGAACUACUGAAGAGAGUGCUCAACCCAUUGCUUCCCUAUGGACCAGCUCUCAUUGAACACUGUCUUAUAGAAAAUGGAUUCUCGGGUAAUGUCAAAGUGGAUGAAAAACUUGAAACUAAAGAUAUUGAAAAAAUACUUGUUUGUCUGCAGAAAGCAGAAGACUAUAUGAAAACAACAUCCACCUUCAGUGGGAAGUGAUAUAUCAUUCAGAAAAGAGAAACAAAACCAAUCUGGAAGCAGAUAAACCAGUCGAAGACAUACUCACGUAUGAGGAAUUUCAUCUUUUCUUGUUUUCUCAACAUUCACAAUGUCCAUAUAUAGAAUUUGAAUCAUUUGACAAGGCUGUGGAUGAGUUUUAUUCCAAGAUAGAAGGCCAGAAAAUUGACUUAAAAGCUUUACAACAGGAAAAGCAAGCAUUGAAGACAUUAGAUAAUGUUCGAAAGAAUCAUGAAAACAGAUUGGAAGCCCUUCAGCAGACUCAGGAAAUAGACAAACUGAAAGGAGAGCUCAUAGAAAUGAACCUACAAAUAGUUGACAGAGCCAUUCAGGUAGUUCGAAGUGCUUUGGCUAGCCAAAUAGAUUGGACAGAAAUUGGGUUAAUUGUGAAAGAAGCCCAAGCUCAAGGAGACCCUGUUGCAAGUGCAAUCAAAGAAUUAAAACUACAAACAAAUCAUGGUACAAUGCUGCUAAGAUAUCCAUACUUGUUAUCAGAGGAGGAAGAUGAUGAUGUUGAUGGUGACGUCGGUGUUGAGAAAAAUGAAACCGAACCACCAAAAGGAAAAAAGAAAAAGCAAAAGAAUAAACAGCUGCAGAAGCCUCAGAAAAAUAAGCCAUUACUUGUAGAUGUUGAUCUCAGCUUGUCAGCAUAUGCCAAUGCCAAAAAGUAUUAUGAUCACAAGAGAUAUGCUGUUAAGAAAACGCAAAAGACUGUUGAAGCUGCUGAGAAGGCAUUCAAAUCAGCAGAAAACAAAGCAAACAUUAAAAGAAGUUCAGUCUGUUACCUCUAUUCAAAAAGCAAGAAAAGUAUAUUGGUUUGAGAAAUUUCUGUAGUUCGUUAGCUCAGAGAACUAUCUAAUUAUAGGUGGACGAGAUCAGCAACAGAAUGAAAUAAUUGUGAAAAGAUACUUGACACCAGGAGACAUUUAUGUACAUGCUGAUCUUCAUGGAGCUACUAGCUGUGUAAUUAAGAAUCCAACAGGAGAACCCAUUCCCCAAGGACCUUGACUGAAGCUGGCACAAUGGCACUUUGCUACAGUGCUGCUUGGGAUGCACGAGUUAUCACUAGUGCUUGGUGGGUGUACCAUCAUCAGGUAUCUAAAACAGCACCAACUGGAGAAUAUUUGACAACAGGAAGCUUCACGAUAAGAGGAAAAAAGAAUUUUCUUCCUCCUUCAUAUCUAAUGAUGGGAUUUAGCUUCCUUUUUAAGGUAGAUGAGUCUUGUGUUUGGAGACAUCGGGGUGAGCGAAAAGUCAGAGUACAGGAUGAAGGCAUGGAGACACUGGCAAGUUGCACAAGUGAACUCAUAUCAGAAGAAAUGGAACAAUUAGAUGGAGGUGACACUAGCAGUGAGGAGGAUACAGAGGAACAUGAAACUCCUCCUGUAGACGUAGAACUCAUGACUCAGGUUGACCAAGAGGAUAUCACUGUUCAGAGUGGUAGAGAAGAACUAAAUGAGGAACUCAUUCAGGAAGAAAGCUCUGAAGAUGAAGGAGCAUGUGAAGAGGUUAGAAAAGAUCAGGAUCUUGUUGGUGAAAUGAAGGAUGAAGGGGAAGAGACAUUAAAUUACCCUGAUACUACCAUUGACUUGUCUCACCUUCAGCCUCAAAGGUCCCUCCAGAAGUUGGCUUCAAAAGAGGAAUCCUCUAAUUCUAGUGACAGUAAAUCACAGAGCCGGAGACAUUUGUCAGCCAAGGAAAGAAGGGAAAUGAAAAAGAAAAAACUUCCAAGUGACUCAGGAGAUUUAGAAGUGAUAGAGGGAAAGGACAAAGAAAAAGAAAUUACUGUGCAUGUUGAAACUCAUCAGAACACAAGCAAGAAUGUUACAGCUGUGCAGCCAAUGAAACGAGGACAAAAGAGUAAAAUGAAAAAAAUGAAGGAAAAAUACAAAGACCAGGAUGAAGAAGACCGUGAACUUAUCAUGAAAUUGCUGGGGUCCGCAGGUUCAAACAAAGAAGAAAAAGGGAAGAAGGGGAAGAAAGGAAAAACAAAGGAUGAACCUGUGAAGAAACAGCCCCAGGAACUCAGAGGUGGAGAAAGGGUCUCUGACAACAUUAAGAAAGAAAGUCCAUUUCUUGAGGUUAUUACUCAUGAGUUAUAAGACUUCACUGUAGAUGAUCCACAUGAUGACAAGGAAGAGCAAGAUCUGGAUCAACAGGGAAAUGAGGAAAACCUGUUUGAUUCUUUGACAGGCCAGCCACAUCCUGAAGAUGCACUAUUGUUUGCCAUUCCAAUAUGUGCCCCUUACACCACCAUGACAAACUACAAAUAUAAAGUGAAACUUACUCCUGGAGUGCAGAAAAAGGGAAAAGCUGUAAAAACAGCCUUGAAUAGUUUCAUGCAUUUCAAAGAAGCAACAGCAAGAGAAAAAGACUUAUUCCGCAGCGUAAAGGACACAGAUUUAUCAAGAAACAUUCCUGGCAAAGUGAAAGUGUCUGCACCCAAUCUUCUGAAUGUAAAAAGGACAUAGCUGAAAUGAAAUUCUAAAAAUAUUUGAGAAGACCCAAUUUUAUAGCCUUUUGGAAGUUCAAAGAUGAAAACACCAUGUUACAGGACUCAGCAUUAUAAAAAUGAACUAAACAUUGCCUUGCUAUAUAUAUUCACCAAAAGGACUUAAUUCUUGGUUUUUUCCCCCAGUUUUAUAUAUAAGAAGCACUGUCUAUGAUAGGAUUUCCUAAAAUAUUUGUGGACAGUUAAAUGCUAAUUAUAUGCAUCUGUCGUUAUUCUACAUUUUCUUGAAGUUUGGAGGUUAAUAUUGUGUUGUUUUCAUGAUGUAAAGAAACUGAACAGUGAAGUGGCUUGAUUGCUUAAACUACUGACUUGUUAAGUCUACUGUAUAUAGCAGCUAAUGUAUAUAUUACAGUCCA